rnacentral:rRNA from 1 species
AGCCCAAACCAAGAAGCUUGCUUCUUGGGGUUGUAGGACACUCUAUACGGAGUUACAAAAGAAAGUUAUAAAUGAAGCGGUCUGGAAAGGCCCGCCAAAGACGGUAACAGCCCGGUAGUUGAAAUAGCUUUCCCUCCAGAGUGGAUCCUGAGUACGGCGGAACACGUGAAAUUCCGUCGGAAUCCGGGAGGACCAUCUCCCAAGGCUAAAUACUCCCUAGUGACCGAUAGUGAACCAGUACCGUGAGGGAAAGGUGAAAAGCACCCCGGAAGGGGAGUGAAACAGUUCCUGAAACCGUGUGCCUACAAGUAGUUAGAGCCCGUUAAUGGGUGAUAGCGUGCCUUUUGUAGAAUGAACCGGCGAGUUACGAUUUGUUGCAAGGUUAAGCGGAAAAAGCGGAGCCGUAGCGAAAGCGAGUCUGAAUAGGGCGAAUAAGUAACAGGUCGUAGACCCGAAACCAGGUGAUCUACCCAUGUCCAGGAUGAAGGUAAGGUAAUACUUACUGGAGGUCCGAACCCACGCACGUUGAAAAGUGCGGGGAUGAGGUGUGGGUAGCGGAGAAAUUCCAAUCGAACUUGGAGAUAGCUGGUUCUCUCCGAAAUAGCUUUAGGGCUAGCCUCGAGGUAAAGAGUCAUGGAGGUAGAGCACUGUUUGGACUAGGGGCCCUUCUCGGGUUACCGAAUUCAGAUAAACUCCGAAUGCCAUGUACUUAUACUCGGGAGUCAGACUGCGAGUGAUAAGAUCCGUAGUCGAAAGGGAAACAGCCCAGACCACCAGUUAAGGUCCCCAAAUAUAUGUUAAGUGGAAAAGGAUGUGGGGUUGCUUAGACAACCAGGAUGUUGGCUUAGAAGCAGCCACCAUUGAAAGAGUGCGUAAUAGCUCACUGGUCGAGUGACCCCGCGCCGAAAAUGUACCGGGGCUAAACAUAUUACCGAAACUGUGGAUGAACCUCUUUGAGAGGUUCGUGGUAGGAGAGCGUUCUAAGGGCGGUGAAGUCAGACCGGAAGGACUGGUGGAGCGCUUAGAAGUGAGAAUGCCGGUAUGAGUAGCGAAAGAAGGGUGAGAAUCCCUUCCACCGAAUAUCUAAGGUUUCCUGAGGAAGGCUCGUCCGCUCAGGGUUAGUCGGGACCUAAGC